UCCGAUAUGGUGUAGUGGUUAACAUCGUUCGCUCUCAUGGAAUAACAAGUUGUUCUCUGGAACCGAACAGCCCCGGGUUCGAUUCCCGGUGUCGGAA